GCCACUUGUGGCCUACUAUCCCUUUCCCAUGUAUUGUAUUCGAGCCAAGUGUCACUUAUCUUAUAUCCAAUGUCCAUUUUCCCGUUUCAGCCAUCAGAACAUCUUGUACACCUCAGCAGAGAAACAGUCCGCUUUGCUCACCAGACUCAAGCAGGAGCAGGCGGAGCUCCACCACUUGCAGAACGUCUGCCGCUCGGCUCACCGGGAGAGGAAACUCCUCUUGAAGCAACAAAGGGAGCUCUUGGCUGUGCAGGCGGCAACCGAACAACUGUGGAAAGAUCUGCACGAGAGAGUCGGGAAAUCCCUCCAGGAGAUUCAUGGCACCCAGGAAGAAGGCGCUCAGGCUCCGCUCAUUGUUUCAAGCUCAAGAAGAGAACAAAGUGUGGAUGCAAACAAUCUUCAUGGGAAGACAGAAGACACCUUGAGGGAAGAGGCAGGCGAAUUCCCCCAGAAGAAGCAACCAGUUCCAGAUGUGGAGAAGACAGAUGUUAUUACAGACAAAAACUUGAAUUUCUGCAGGGAAUACCCCAUAGGUUCAACCCUAACAGACACAGGAUGCAAGGAAACCAAAGGUUAUUUGGUGAAGGAAGAGCAAGAUACAGGCUUGAUGAAGAAUCCCAAAGAAGAACGUCUCUGCAGUUCCAUGGACAAGGCAUUGCAAUGUUCGCAUCCAAUAACCCCUUCUGAUGAAUUAUAUGGUUUUUCGCUUGACUCAGAGAAGCCCCGGUUGGAGUCUGGAUUUCAUACGGCUCGUGCUGUUCUCAUCAAUAUCUCUGGAAGUUCUCCUUCAUCCUUGGAAGAGAAGGAGGACCAAGAUACGGACAUCAGCCUUCCGGAGGAAUUCAUCAUACAGGAUGAGAUGUUUUGUGGAACUCGAGGAAUAAAUACAUCACCGUCUUCUGGAGGAAGAAGUCACACUCAAAUAUAUGGUGGUCCUCCAAAACAGGUUGACCUAUCGACUCUGUGCAUCCAGGAAGGUAAGCCGUUCAAUGAGAAAGCAGAUAGAUCUGCUUUUAUUAUAUUAUCGAGUGAUGGAAGAUCCAAUACAGAUGGGAUGGGAGGAUCCUAUUCUGAUCAAACCGAUGCUGUCAUUAUCAGAAGGGAUGUACCAGAACUAGAGAAGAUGGCUUUCCAAGAAGGUGCUGAAUCUGAAGAUGUUUCAUGGAACGAAGGGUCUUUCGACAACACUAAAGACCCAAAAAAUCAACAAAUCGGUAGCACCAUUGAAGGAGAAGACAACCAUGAAAACCCACCCUGUUCCAAACCUAUGAUGCUUGUUGGAUCUGAAGAUGUUUCACGGAACGAAGGGUCUUCUGACAACACUAAAGACCCGAAAAAUCAACAAAUCGGUAGCACCGUUGAAGGAGAAGACAACCAUGAAAACCCACCCUGUUCCAAACCUAUGAUGCUUGUUGGAUCUGAAGAUGUUUCAUGGAACGAAGGGUCUUCUGACAACACUAAAGACCCGAAAAAUCAACAAAUCGGUAGCACUGUUGAAGGAGAAGACAACCAUGAAAACCCACCCUGUUCCAAACCUAUGAUGCUUGUUGGAUCUGAAGAUGUUUCAUGGAACGAAGGGUCUUCUGACAACACUAAAGACCCGAAAAAUCAACAAAUCGGUAGCACCGUUGAAGGAGAAGACAACCAUGAAAACCCACCCUGUUCCAAACCUAUGAUGCUUGUUGGAUCUGAAGAUGUUUCAUGGAACGAAGGGUCUUCUGACAACACUAAAGACCCGAAAAAUCAACAAAUCGGUAGCACCGUUGAAGGAGAAGACAACCGUGAAAACCCACCUUGUUCCAAACCUAUGAUGCUUGUUGGAUCUGAAGAUGUGAGCACCAUCCAUGGUGAAAUGAAGCAAUUUCCUUCCGAAUCGCAGAAUCCCUCUGACCCUCUGUACAUUUCGGAUGACAGUAAAGGUCGCGCAGAAUAUGCAGUCAGCGAAUCCAAUCUAUACGAAGCCCCGCCGAGCAAUGGUUCCUUAUGUCCCCAAACCAUGGAAGGAACCACAAAACAAGUGCGAAAUUGUCCCACAGUGAGCGGCCAAAGCUCAAAGAGAUCCAGAGAGGUCAAUUCACUCCAAGAUGUGGAGAGAAGUGAAGAAGAUAAAAUACCCAUCCGUGAGGAACAUCCACUGGGAAUAGAGGAAGAAAUCGUUUCUCCUGUGGAUGAAGUGUUAUCGUACGGAAGUAUCGAUCUACCAUCUGCAGUUUCCUUCCCAAGUGGAGAUCUUCCUCCUCCACCUGAAGAAAACGAUGGUGGGUCUGAUAUCAGCCUUGAAGACUUCCCCUCUCCGCCUGAAGAACUUCUCUUCCCGGAAUCAGGAGAGCUUCAAUAUGCCUCCGAUGAAGACACAUCCAUAACAACGAAUGACUUGACUUCCUUAUCCAAUGAUCUUGAGUUGGAAGAUCUGCCAUCGCUACCUCUGGACUCAGCAGAGGUGUCUUUGGGGCAAUGAAUAUGAAAUAUACUGAUGGGGAGAGCAAUCAUUUUGGCCAUUCAGCGCAUCCAAAUUUGAAUCUAGUAGAAUCAGAGAGGUUAAAUGUUUCUGAAUAUUUACAUAAAGCUCAAAUUUAAGAUGAGAUUGUCCAACUCUGAUCAAAUCAUUAUUCUCAUCUUCUUCAAUGUAAAUGUGCUUAUGUAUCCUUUUAAUAAUAACAGAGUAAAAUAAUACACGUAAUAAUAAUAAUAAAUACAGGGAAAUAAUACAUGUAAUAAUAAAUAGAGUAAAAUAAGAAAUGCAAUAAUAAUAAGAUCAGAGUGAAAUAAUAAAUGUAUUAUUAUUAUUAAUAAUAAUAAUAAUAAUAAAAUAGAGUAAAAUAAAUGUAAUAAUAGCAACAGUAAUAGAGAAAAAUAAUAAAUGUAAUAAUACCAAUAAUAAAUGUACCAUAUAUUCUCGAGUAUAAGCUGACCCAAAUAUAAGCCAACCAGGACCCUCACCCGAGUAUAAGCCGAGGGGGGCUUUUUCACUCUUAAAAAAAGGGCUGAAAAACCAGGCUUAUACUCGAGUAUAUACAGUACCUUAAUUUCUGAGCUCUUCCAACAGUAAUCUUUAAGAAAAUAAAUAUGCUUGGAGCAAUUAUGCCAGCGAAGAAAUCUCUAAUUAUUGUAUUUUCCAAUGUGUAAUCCAUAGACUUCUACUUGUUUUACUUUUAAUGGACUGAAGAAAGAUAGUUUAGGUAUUUGAGGAUGAAGGUUUGUAUAAUGAAAGACUUGGGUUGCUGUGAGUUUUCGGGCUGUAUGGCCAUGUUCCAGAAGCAUUCUCUCCUGACGUUUCGCCCACAUCUAUGUCAAGCAUCCCCAGAGGUUGUGAGGCCCAUUGAAACUAGGCAACUGGGGUUUAUAUACAGUAGAGUCUCACUUAUCCAACAUAAACGGGGCGGCAGAACGUUGAAUAAGCGAAUAUGUUGGAUAAUAAGGAGAGAUUAAGGAGAAGCCUAUUAAACAUCAAAUUAGGUUAUGAUUUUACAAAUUAAGCACCAAAACAUCAUGUUAUACAACAAAUCUGGCAGAAAAAGUAGUUCAAUAUGCAGCAGUGCUACAUAGUAAUUACUGUAUUUAUGAAUUUCGCACCAAAAUAUCAUGAUAUAUUGAAAACAUUGACUACAAAAAUGCGUUGGAUAAUCCAGAACGUUGGAUAAGUGAGACUCUACUGUAUCUAUGGAAUGUCCAGAAUGUCUUGUCUGUUUGCGGCUAGUGUGAAUGUUGCAAUUGGCCACCUUAAUUGGCACUGAAUUGCCUUUCAGCUUCAAAGUCUUGCUGCUUCCUGCCUGGGGGAACCCUUUGUGGGCUAUACAGCCCUGAAAACACACAGCAACCCAGUGAUUCCAGCCAUGAAAGCUUUCGACAACACAAUGAAAUACUUCUUUCUACAUUGAAUGUAUCAUACUUGUCAUGUAUCAUGUAUUUUGCUCAUCUGAUUGGUUAACAAAGUUACUCUUCUGUGCUUUGAAUGUGUUAUGUAAUUGCAACAAAUACCAAACGAAUCCUACAUAAUAUAGGGAUACAUUGCUUGACAACAGUUAACUUCUAUUUAUAAAUAUAAUAUAUGAUAUAUAUUAUAACAGUAAUUAAGAUUAUAUAAAGACCACGCAUCACAGUUUUGAUUCAAGAUCGAUAAAGAAAAUUGAAACACUGAACAAAUGCAUACAAGUGCUGUAUUGGUAUUUCUAUAUUUUUAAAUAAAUAUAUAUAUUAAAUAUAAUUUUUAUUAAGAGAGUAUGUAGAGUGGGGAAGAAUAAAAGAAUGAAUAUAAAG
rnacentral:lncRNA from 11 species